UACGUAGGGUGCAAGCGUUAAUCGGAAUUACUGGGCGUAAAGCGUGCGCAGGCGGUUUUGUAAGUCUGUCGUGAAAUCCCCGGGCUUAACCUGGGAAUGGCGAUGGAGACUGCAAGGCUAGAGUUUGGCAGAGGGGGGUAGAAUUCUACGUGUAGCAGUGAAAUGCGUAGAGAUGUGGAGGAACACCGAUGGCGAAGGCAGCCCCCUGGGUCAAAACUGACGCUCAUGCACGAAAGCGUGGGGAGCAAACAGG
rnacentral:rRNA from 1 species